CCUACGGGCGGCAGCAGUGAGGAAUAUUGGUCAAUGGGCGCAAGCCUGAACCAGCCAAGUAGCGUGCAGGAUGACGGCCCUACGGGUUGUAAACUUCUUUUAUAAGGGAAUAAAGCGAGUCACGUGUGCCUGUUUGCAUGUACUUUAUGAAUAAGGAUCGGCUAACUCCGUGCCAGCAGCCGCGGUAAUACGGAGGAUCCGAGCGUUAUCCGGAUUUAUUGGGUUUAAGGGGAGCGUAGAUGGGUUGUUAAGUCAGUUGUGAAAGUUCGCGGCUCAACCGGAACAUUGCAACUGGUACUGGCAGGCUUGAGUACAGUGGAGGCAGGCGGAAUUCGUGGUGUAGCGGUGAAAUGCUUAGAUAUCACGAAGAACCCCGAUUGCGAAGGCAGCUUACUAAACUGCCACUGACAUUGAUGCUCGAAAGCGUGGGUAUCAAACAGGAUUAGAUACCCUUGUAGUC
rnacentral:rRNA from 1 species